rnacentral:rRNA from 1 species
AUUGAACGCUGGCGGCAGGCCUAACACAUGCAAGUCGAACGAGUGGCGGACGGGUGAGUAAUGUCUGGGAAACUGCCUGAUGGAGGGGGAUAACUACUGGAAACGGUAGCUAAUACCGCAUACCAUCGGAUGUGCCCAGAUGGGAUUAGCUAGUAGGUGGGGUAAAGGCUCACCUAGGCGACGAUCCCUAGCUGGUCUGAGAGGAUGACCAGCCACACUUGAACUGAGACACGGCCCUGACUCCUACGGAGGGCAGCAGUGGGGAAUAUUGCACAAGGGGCGCAAGCCUGAUGCAGCCUUGCCGCGGGAAUGAAGAAGGCCUUCGGUUUGUAAAGUACUUUCAGCGGGGAGGCGUUACCCGCAGAAGAAGCACCGGCUAACUCCGUGCCAGCCGCCGCGGUAAUAC